UGAAAAUCGGUUCACCCAUCUCUGAGAAAAGUGAGUGAGAUUGCGGUCACAUACACACACAGAAUUGACGGAUUGUAUCGAAUGGUAUGUCACUCGGGCCUCCGGGUCUCCGUUUAAAAGACGGUUUUCAGAGCAGUUUUCUAUUGAGAAAGGCAAAACGUAAGUCGUAUGAAUAAGUUGUAGCAAAUAGUGGCACAUUUUACACUUUUAUAAUUAGUGGCUCAUGUCCCUUCAGAUUUGACCGCACUUACCACUUGAUGACGUCCCAGUUUGAUAUUUCUUUUGAGUGUUUUGAGAAAACUGAGAAAACGAAAAUCGUCAACGCAGGCCUGGAUACGGUUAAUGAAAUAUAAACAAAUUUUGGUAUCCUCGCAUCGUUGUCCGGAGCAGUUGGAUAUCAUUGUCAUCAAUAACCCCAGGGUUGAAAAAUUGAUUCGGUUCUGUGACUUCGAAUCUAAAGACUAUGGCGUGUGGCAUCGAAGAAUUCAUUCCGUGCAUUUUAGGUCGUCUUGUUUCAAACACCUAUUAAAUCUAUCUAAAGGAUGAUGAUCGAGUUGCACUUUUUGUUGCCAACGAACGGAAAACAGCGACCAGCUGCUGCAUUUGCUCCACCACCCGUUUUUUAUAAGAGAUCAGAGAUGUGUAUUUUCGCUCUGCAGUUUGUUGCUUUUAGCUAAAUAGUUGAAGAAAUUUUUCUCUUCAAAAUAUUUGGUAAGUAAAUAAGAACAGUUUUGCAUGUGAUAUAAGUUGUUAUCGUGGGCGUGGAAACGACAUUUAUUCACUAUUACUUAUGGAUACACUGGAAGAUAAACUAAUGGCGUUUUCGUUUUUGAC